GAUUAACGCUGGCGGCGUGCAUAACACAUGCAAGUCGAACGAAGUGGCGGACGGGUGAGUAACGCGUGAGUAACCUGCCUUAGAGAUGGGGAUAGCCUCUGGAAACGGAGAAUAAUACCCAAUGCUCUAAGAUGGACUUGCGUCUGAUUAGCUAGUUGGUGAGAUAAUAGCUCACCAAGGCAACGAUCAGUAGCCGGCUUGGGAGAGGGUACGGCCAGAUUGGGGCUGGGGCACGGCCCGGACUCUACGGGAGGCAGCAGGGGGGAAUUGUGAACAAUGGGGGAAGCCCUGAUGCAGCGAGGCCGCGUGAUUUAGAAGGCCUUCGGGUUGUAAAAAUCUUUUGUAUAGGAAGCGGUACUAUACGAAUAAGGACCGGCUAAUUACGUGCCAGCAGCCGCGGUAAUAC
rnacentral:rRNA from 1 species